UGAUUUCCAAGGGAGAUAACUUGUCAUCUCAUUCUUUUCUUCGCCUUCCGGUCUCUUCUGCUCGACCUUGCAACAACAGUUGCAGCCAUGCCGGGAGUUGAAAUGUUCUCUAGGUUUAUGGGCCCUCGAUUCUAUCAGAUGGCCAAAAACUGGUCCCCUACUUUAGGAGUUUUCGGAGCAACAGCAGCUAUAACAGGACUGUAUAUCACUGACUGGAAGGCAGUUCUCAAGUAUGUCCCAUACUACGGUGGCAAGUACCCGGAGGAGCCACCACAGUGAACAUGAAAAUCAGUGAAUAUGUGUGCUUGUUAUAGAAGAAAAUCCCACUUUCUGUUUGAAUGUAUGACGGGCAGACGCUUGUUUUAUCAUCAUUGGAGCUGUAUAGAAACAAUGGUUCCAUUGAGUCAAUAAACUAUGUUGUAUUUCACAA